AAUAUCAAAUAAAUAUAGCCAUUUUUCAAUUAAAAAAAAUGAAAAAGUUUCAUAGUCAGAAAGAAGGCAAGAUGCUUAUGGUAACAAUAGCAACUAACAGAAAAAAGAAAGGCAGUCAAACUGAGCCAUUCAAAGAAUGUAAAUUCUAAGGAAAGCCUACAAUAGUGGCAGCAAGUACAACCAAGGAAAUGCUUUUGAGAUCUUAUAUGGCUAUUAACAACGAAGGCAGCAGUUAAACCAAGAGUACAUGCAGAUCCACAUGAAUGUAUACGCUGUCAACGACCAAAAAUAAACCCCUCAAGAAAUUUAAAGAAAUUGCUUCGAAUUGAUGAGAUCUUGGACUUUCAGCUUAGUUGAGUUGAGAUUGAGAUCUUAGGACUCAUGAGCAUACAUUUUGAGAAAGAUGAAGGAAAUGGGAAAUAGAAUACGGCGAGACUGCAGUCAAGAUGCCAAGAAGAGACCAAUUGAUAAAAAUAAGGAAACCCAGCUGCGUUUGCUAAUCAAAUUUUAAGCAUCUCAUGUACUCAGCUCAACAAAGUCUCUACUCUAGAACAAACUGGGUUAGAUAUGUAAAUCUUAUUCGUAUAUUCAACUCUGUUUAGGGCCAACAUCUUGUUACUUCGGUAAAAGAAAUUAUUUUGAAAUCAAAAUAAAUUAGAAGGGUGACAAGUAAAAUAUAAAUAGAAAAAACAGCAAGACAAGUAGAGUAAUUUUCUCAUUUCAUGUUAGAUGACACCUAGGGACACUCCUCUAAAAGCCUCAAAAGCAAUAGUGCAUAAAGAUGCCA
rnacentral:misc_RNA from 1 species